rnacentral:rRNA from 1 species
UACGGAGGGGGCUAGCGUUGUUCGGAAUUACUGGGCGUAAAGGGCGCGCAGGCGGUCGAUCAAGUCGCGUGUGAAAGCCCCCGGCUCAACUGGGGAGGGUCACGCGAUACUGAUCGACUCGAAGGCAGGAGAGGGUAGUGGAAUUCCCGGUGUAGUGGUGAAAUGCGUAGAUAUCGGGAGGAACACCAGUGGCGAAGGCGACUACCUGGCCUGUUCUUGACGCUGAGGCGCGAAAGCUAGGGGAGCAAACGGGG